AAAAAAAAAAAGAAAGAAAGUAAAUGUUAUCUUUAUAUUUCUGGAGACUAAAAGGAAUAAUCCAACUAAAAUCAUUACAGUUGACAUGAGAGAUGGCUCAACAGUUAAGAGCAUAUACUGCUCUUCAGAAGACCAAAGCUCAGUUCCCAGCAUCCACAUGCCAGUUUACAAACACCUGUAACUUCAACUCCAAGGGAUCUGAACCCCUCUCCUGGCUUCCUUAGACACCAGUACUCACAGUUGCACAAAUGUACACAUGUAUAAAACUUCUGUGGAAUAUCAGGAACCCGGAAAGUCUGCAUCAGAAGGAAGCUCCCACAGGCUAACUGACUGUGAUCCUCCCCCCUGGCCAGCCAACUCUCAGGAUGAUGGGAUUCUGAACUGAGCACGAUGACCCAUACCUGUAAUCCCAGCACUCAGGAAGUUGAGGCCAGAGGAUUUUCAUGAGCUGGAGGCCAGCCUGGGAUACAUAUGGAGGCUGCUCUAUGCUACAGAGACCUUGAUACAAUCAAAUAAAGCAAAGCAAAUGAGCCC
ensembl:lncRNA